AUUGAACGCUGGGGGCAGGCCUAACACAUGCAAGUCGAGCGCGCGGCGGACGGGUGAGUAAUGUAUGGGGACUGCCCGCUAGAGGGGGGUAACUCCUGGAAACGGUAGCUAAUACCGCAUACUAUCGGAUAACCCAUAUGGGAUCAGCUCGUAGGUGAGGUAAUGGCUCACCUCGGCGACGAGCCCUCGCUGGUCUGAGAGGCUGAUCAGCCACACUGGGACUGAGACACGGCCCAGACUCCUACGGAGGCAGCAGUGGGGAAUAUUGCACAAUGGGCGCAAGCCUGAUGCAGCCAUGCCGCGUGUAUGAAGAAGGCCCUAGGGUUGUAAAGUACUUUCAGUCGGGAGGCGUUACCGGCAGAAGAAGCACCGGCUAACUCCGUGCCAGCCGCCGCGGUAAUAC
rnacentral:rRNA from 1 species